AACACCGAAGUUAAGCAACAUCGAGCCUGGUUAGUAGCAAGAUGGGUGACCACUUGGGAAUACCAAGUGCUGUAAG